UCCCUCUCUCCCUUGAAGGCUC
rnacentral:miRNA from 1 species